rnacentral:rRNA from 1 species
AUACGGAGGACGCGAGCGUUAUCCGGAUUCAUUGGGUUUAAAGGGUGCGCAGGCGGCCGUGCAAGUCAGCGAUGAAAGCCCGGGGCUCAACCCCGGAAGUGCCGUUGAUACUGCAUGGCUGGAAUGCGGUCGAGGCGGGCGGAACGUGGCGUGUAGCGGUGAAAUGCGUAGAUAUGCCACAGAACGCCGAUGGCGGAGGCAGCUCGCCAGGCCUGCAUUGACGCUCGGGCACGAAAGCGUGGGGAUCGAACAGGAUUAGAGCCCCUGGUAGUCCACGCCGUAAACGAUGGGCGCUCGUCGUCGGCGGCAGACAGUCGGCGGCCAAGCGAAAGCGAUAAGCGCCCCACCUGGGGAGUACGGUCGCAAGGCUGAAACUCAAAUGAAUUGACGGGG